AGGGUGGAACGGUGAGGUAAGAGCUCACCAGCGGUUAGGCGACUAACCGGCUAGGUAAACCCCAUCCGGAGCAAGACCGAAUAGGAGAGGGAUGAGGUUGCCCGCUGAUCUCUCGGGUAAGGUCGCUGGAGGUGCCAGGCAACUGGUACCCAAGAUAGAUGGUCAUCUUCGACAGGACUCGGCUUACAGGUCUACUCGCCAA
rnacentral:RNase_P_RNA from 1 species